GAUGAACGCUGGCGGCGUGCCUAAUACAUGCAAGUCGAGCGAACAGACGAGGAGCUUGCUCCUCUGACGUUAGCGGCGGACGGGUGAGUAACACGUGGAUAACCUACCUAUAAGACUGGGAUAACUUCGGGAAACCGGAGCUAAUACCGGAUAAUUUAUUGAACCGCAUGGUUCAAUAGUGAAAGACGGUUUUGCUGUCAAUUAUAGAUGGAUCCGCGCCGCAUUAGCUAGUUGGUAAGGUAACGGCUUACCAAGGCAACGAUGCGUAGCCGACCUGAGAGGGUGAGCGGCCACACUGGAACGGAAACACGGUCCAGACUCCGACGGGAGGCAGCAGGAGGGAAUCUUCCGCAAUGGGCGAAAGCCUGACGGAGCGACGCCGCGUGAGUGAUGAAGGUCUUCGGAUCGUAAAACUCUGUUAUUAGGGAAGAACAAAUGUGUAAGUAACUAUGCACGUCUUGACGGUACCUAAUCAGAAAGCCACGGCUAACUACGUG
rnacentral:rRNA from 1 species